GAUGAACGCUGGCGGCGUGCCUAAUACAUGCAAGUCGAGCGAACAGAUGAGGAGCUUGCUCCUCUGACGUUAGCGGCGGACGGGUGAGUAACACGUGGAUAACCUACCUAUAAGACUGGGAUAACUUCGGGAAACCGGAGCUAAUACCGGAUAAUAUAUUGAACCGCAUGGUUCAAUAGUGAAAGACGGUUUUGCUGUCACUUAUAGAUGGAUCCGCGCCGCAUUAGCUAGUUGGUAAGGUAACGGCUUACCAAGGCAACGAUGCGUAGCCGACCUGAGAGGGGGAGCGGCCACACUGGAACUGAAACACGGCCCAGACCCCUACGGGAGGCAGCAGUAGGGAAUCUUCCGCAAUGGGCGAAAGCCUGACGGAGCAACGCCGCGUGAGUGAUGAAGGUCUUCGGAUCGUAAAACUCUGUUAUUAGGGAAGAAAAAAUGUGUAAGUAACUGUGCACGUCUUGACGGUACCUAAUAAGAAAGCCACGGCUAACUACGUG
rnacentral:rRNA from 1 species